GUUUCUUCUCCCGUGAUUUCUAGGACAGCGCGACAGGAGCAAGGCGCGCCCUCUGGCACCAUCUUGUGGGCAUUGCUGAGGAUAACAAUUGAUGGAAAUCUGCGCUGUGCCCCCUGGUGAGAACCACCGAAAGUUCAACGGACCUGGAACCUGGAAAGUAUGAAUGAUGGUUCUUGUUCUGUCCUGUCGGACUCUUCGUGACCCCAGGCAUCCCAGGAUCUAUCCAUCCCAUCUGAUAAAUAACAUUUUUGUGACAAAAAAGAGGACAAAUCUCAGCAAAAUUGAUGGAUAUAUAAAAAAAUAGCACAUGGAUGUCACACCUUAAAAGGAAAGUGUCUUCUUGUAUCUCUUUGGAGCCAUGCUCAUUCUUUGUAAUUUUGCACAAUCUACAUUUGAUUUGGAGUAUAGUCUUUCUGUUUA